rnacentral:rRNA from 1 species
UACGGAGGGGGCUAGCGUUGUCCGAAGUUGCUGGGCGUAAAGCGCGCGUAGGCGGGUUGGUAAGUCCGCUGUGAAAGCCCGGAGCUUAACUCCGGAGGGUCGGUGGAUACUGCCAGUCUUGAAGGUGCUAGGGGGAGAUGGAAUUACCGGUGUAGCGGUGAAAUGCGUAGAUAUCGGUAGGAACACCAGUGGCGAAGGCGGUCUCCUGGGGCAUUCUUGACGCUGAGGCGCGAAAGCUGGGGGAGCAAACGGG